rnacentral:rRNA from 1 species
GAUGAACGCUAGCUACAGGCUUAACACAUGCAAGUCGAGGGGUAACAAGAGAAAAGCUUGCUUUUCUUGUUGACGACCGGCGCACGGGUGAGUAACGCGUAUCCAACCUGCCUAUAACUAGGGAAUAACCUUGAGAAAGUAAGACUAAUACCCUAUGAUUUCCUUUUAUGACAUCAGAUUAGGAAUAAAGAUUUAUCGGUUAUAGAUUGGGAUGAGUCUGAUUAGCUUGUUGGCGGGGUAACGGCCCACCAAGGCAACGAUCAGUAGGGGUUCCGAGAGGAAGGUCCCCCACAUUGGAACUGAGACACGGUCCAAACUCCUACGGGAGGCAGCAGUGAGGAAAAUUGGUCAAUGGGCGGAAGCCUGAACCAGCCAAGUAGCGUGCAGGAUGACGGCCCUAUGGGUUGUAACCUGCUUUUAUACAGGAAUAAAGUUAGCCACGUGUGGUUAUUUGUAGGUACUGUAUGAAUAAGGACCGGCUAAUUCCGUGCCAGCAGCCGCCGUAA